rnacentral:rRNA from 1 species
UACGGGGGGGAGCAAGCGUUGUUCGGAUUUACUGGGCGUAAAGGGCGCGUAGGCGGUCAGCACAAGUCAGUUGUGAAAUCUCCGGGCUUAACUCGGAAAGGUCAACUGAUACUGUGCGACUAGAGUGCAGAAGGGGCAACUGGAAUUCUCGGUGUAGCGGUGAAAUGCGUAGAUAUCGAGAGGAACACCUGCGGCGAAGGCGGGUUGCUGGGCUGACACUGACGCUGAGGCGCGGAAAGCCAGGGGAGCGAACGGG